CAAGGUUAAAACUCAAAUGAAUUGACGGGGGCCCGCACAAGCGGUGGAGCAUGUGGUUUAAUUCGAUGCAACGCGAAGAACCUUACCUGGCCUUGACAUCCACGGAAUUCGGCAGAGAUGCCUUAGUGCCUUCGGGAACCGUGAGACAGGUGCUGCAUGGCUGUCGUCAGCUCGUGUUGUGAAAUGUUGGGUUAAGUCCCGCAACGAGCGCAACCCUUAUCCUUUGUUGCCAGCGCGUAAUGGCGGGAACUCAAAGGAGACUGCCGGUGAUAAACCGGAGGAAGGUGGGGAUGACGUCAAGUCAUCAUGGCCCUUACGGCCAGGGCUACACACGUGCUACAAUGGCGCAUACAAAGAGAAGCGAACUCGCGAGAGCAAGCGGACCUCAUAAAGUGCGUCGUAGUCCGGAUCGGAGUCUGCAACUCGACUCCGUGAAGUCGGAAUCGCUAGUAAUCGUGGAUCAGAAUGCCACGGUGAAUACGUUCCCGGGCCUUGUACACACCGCCCGUCACACCAUGGGAGUGGGUUGCAAAAGAAGUAGGUAGC
rnacentral:rRNA from 1 species